AUUGAACGCUGGCGGCAGGCCUAACACAUGCAAGUCGAGCGAGCGGCGGACGGGUGAGUAAUGUGUGGGAAACUGCCUGAUGGAGGGGGCUAACUACUGGAAACGGUAGCUAAUACCGCAUACCGUCAGCUCUGCCCCGGUGGGAUUAGCUAGUAGGGGGGGUAACGGCCCACCAAGGCGACGAUCCCUAGCCGGUCUGAGAGGAUGACCAGCCACACUGGAACUGAGACACGGUCCAGACUCCUACGGGAGGCAGCAGUGGGGAAUAUUGCACAAUGGGCGAAAGCCUGAUGCAGCCAUGCCGCGUGUGUGAAGAAGGCCUUCGGGUUGUAAAGCACUUUCAGCGGGGAGGCGUUACCCGCAGAAGAAGCACCGGCUAACUCCGUGCCAGCAGCCGCGGUAAUUC
rnacentral:rRNA from 1 species